ACCAUGAGGGCCAGCAGCUUCUUGAUCGUGGUGGUGUUCCUCAUCGCUGGGACGCUGGUUGUAGAGGCAGCUGUCACGGGAGUUCCUGUUAAAGGUCAAGACACUGUCAAAGGCCGUGUUCCAUUCAAUGGACAAGAUCCCGUUAAAGGACAAGUUUCAGUUAAAGGUCAAGAUAGAGUCAAAGGGCAAGGGCCAGUCAAAGGUCCAGUCUCCACUAAGCCUGGCUCCUGCCCCAAUAUCUUGAUCCGGUGUGCCAUGUUGAAUCCCCCUAACCGCUGCUUGAAAGAUACUGACUGCCCAGGAAUCAAGAAGUGCUGUGAAGGCUCUUGCGGGAUGGCCUGUUUCGUUCCACAGUGAGGUGAGCACUAGCUGGAGGAAGAGGAGACCCCUGAAGACACAAAAGAAGGCUGAGCAGUGGGGAACCAUCCCAGAUGGAGCCUGUCCUUGCUGCACCUGUGCUGUCCCCAGAGCUACAGGCCCCAUCUGGUCCUAGGUCCCUGCUGCCCUUCCCCUUCCCACACUGUCCAUUCUUCCUCCCAUUCAGGAUGCCCAAGCCUGGAGCUGCCUCUCUCAUCUACUUUCCAAUAAAGAGUUCCUUCUGCUCCACUUGUUUCUGGUUCCUAUGACUUCUGGGCUCCUGGAUACUUUGGGGAAAUGGAUGUAGAAUUGGGACUUCUUCUCUCCAGUGAAGAGGGGAAAGGGUCCCAUGGUGAAAGAGAGCAGGGCGGGGGGAGGAAACAGGAGGCCCUUGCUAGGGCUUCAUAUUACAAAUCCAAUAAUCAGCCCCAGUGCUGCCAUAUCCUUUUCACCAGGAAAUGGAAAUCUGGAAAUCUUGCC